AGACAUGUUCCAUGCAGAGGAAAUGGCCAAUGCAAAGAGCCCCUGACUGGAGGGCAUUUGGCACAUUCUAGGAGAGUGAGGAGGAUUCUAUGGGCCAGGAAUUCAGACAGGGCACAGUGUUGAUGGCUUGUCUGUGUCCUGGCUGGGAUGGCUCAAAUGGUUGUGGGACUAUUUGACUUGAAAGGCUGGAGCCUGGAAUCAUUUGAAACAUUGUUCACUCAUGUGUCUGGCACCUGCGUUAGAA
rnacentral:lncRNA from 1 species